AAAAUUGAUGCGAAUUUUUGUCUAACUUUUGCAUCAACUUCAAACGCGGCCACACGUGCACCGCAGACGCUCCAGCGCCAGCUCCAACUCCAACUCCAGCUCCAACUCCAGCUCCAGCCUCAGUGUUCGUUAAGAAGUUCGCUCUGAAAUAGUAACAGAAAAAAUCACAUUUAAAUUACGUAUUACCCCGAAAGAAACAAAAACAACAACAACAAAAUCCCCCAAAUAAAAACCCGAAAAAUCACAGACAUCAUGGAAGCAGCAGCGAACAAAUCACCGCAGCAGCAGCAGAAGCAGCAGCAGCAUCUGCAACAUCAGAAGAA